GUUACCUGUGGAGAUGAUAAAACUAUUAAGGUAUGGGAUGCAGUAGCUGGACGCAGGCAGUAUACAUUUGAAGGCCAUGAAGCUCCUGUGUAUUCAGUCUGCCCUCACCACAAAGAAAAUAUUCAGGCUAUUCUCAUGUGGAACAAGUGAAGAAGGCGAAUCUCAUUUAGUUGAGUGGAAUGAGAGCGAAGGAGCUGCCAAAAAGACAUAUUCUGGUCUCAGAAAGCGUUCUCUAAGAGUUGUCCAGUUUGAUACAACACGGAAUUGAUUCUUGACUGCUGGUGUUGAAUUUCAAAUUAAAUUCUGGGAUGUGAACAAUACAAAUAUGCUGACAGCUAUUGAUGUGGAUGGUGGAUUGCCGGUUUGUAGUUUUACUGUUUACUUGUGCACCAAUGGUAUUUAGCAGUAGAUAUGUAGCAGUUGUUCAUUCAAUUCUAUUCUUUGCAGGCUAGUCCUAGUCUGAGAUUCAGUAAGGCAGGAUCUCUGCUUGCAGUUAUAAUGAGUGACAAUGGUAUCAAAAUAUUUGCCAACAGUGAUGGUUUGCGAUUAAUAAGAAUGUUAGAAAGCAGGGCUAUUGACCAAAAUAGGGUCCCAUCUGAACCCAUUCUUGCAUGUUUGAGAAAAUCAUACUCUCAUGUCAUUGUUUGAGCUUGUUUUAAAAAUGAAAUUUUUAAAGAAAGAACACAUGGGAAGAUAAUAUUAUAAACAUCAGCUCUUGAGGGGCUGGCAUUAUCACCCUUGAACUAGAUUUGGGUUUGUUCGGUAUUUCAUAUACGAUUAACAAUACUUGAUUGAGAUAAUGUUUUUGCA